rnacentral:rRNA from 1 species
AGAGUUUGAUCCUGGCUCAGGAUGAACGCUGGCGGCGUGCUUAACACAUGCAAGUCGAACGAUCCUUCGGGAUAGUGGCGGACGGGUGAGUAACGCGUGGGAAUCUGCCCUCAGGAGGGGGAUAACGGCUGGAAACGGCCGCUAAUACCCCAUAUGCCGAGAGGUGAAAUGAAUUUCGCCUGAGGAUGAGCCCGCGUCUGAUUAGCUAGUUGGUGGGGUAAUGGCUUACCAAGGCAACGAUCAGUAGCUGGUCUGAGAGGAUGAUCAGCCACACUGGGACUGAGACACGGCCCAGACUCCUACGGGAGGCAGCAGUGGGGAAUUUUCCGCAAUGGGCGAAAGCCUGACGGAGCAACGCCGCGUGAGGGAUGAAGGCCUCUGGGCUGUAAACCUCUUUUCUCAAGGAAGAAGACCUGACGGUACUUGAGGAAUAAGCCACGGCUAAUUCCGUGCCAGCAGCCGCGGUAAUACGGGAGUGGCAAGCGUUAUCCGGAAUUAUUGGGCGUAAAGCGUCCGCAGGCGGCCUUGUAAGUCUGUUGUUAAAGCGUGGAGCUCAACUCCAUUUAAGCAAUGGAAACUACAAGGCUGGAGUGUGGUAGGGGCAGAGGGAAUUCCCGGUGUAGCGGUGAAAUGCGUAGAUAUCGGGAAGAACACCAGUGGCGAAGGCGCUCUGCUGGGCCAUAACUGACGCUCAUGGACGAAAGCCAGGGGAGCGAAAGGGAUUAGAUACCCCUGUAGUCCUGGCCGUAAACGAUGAACACUAGGUGUCGGGGGAAUCGACCCCCUCGGUGUCGUAGCCAACGCGUUAAGUGUUCCGCCUGGGGAGUACGCACGCAAGUGUGAAACUCAAAGGAAUUGACGGGGGCCCGCACAAGCGGUGGAGUAUGUGGUUUAAUUCGAUGCAACGCGAAGAACCUUACCAGGGUUUGACAUUCUGCGAACCCCUGAGAAAUCGGGGGGUGCCUUCGGGAGCGCAGAGACAGGUGGUGCAUGGCUGUCGUCAGCUCGUGUCGUGAGAUGUUGGGUUAAGUCCCGCAACGAGCGCAACCCACGUCUUUAGUUGCCAGCAUUCAGUUGGGCACUCUAGAGAGACCGCCGGUGAUAAACCGGAGGAAGGUGUGGAUGACGUCAAGUCAUCAUGCCCCUUACAUCCUGGGCUACACACGUACUACAAUGCUACGGACAAAGGGCAGCAAGCUCGCGAGAGUUAGCAAAUCCCAUAAACCGUGGCUCAGUUCAGAUCGUAGGCUGCAACUCGCCUACGUGAAGGAGGAAUCGCUAGUAAUCGCAGGUCAGCAUACUGCGGUGAAUACGUUCCCGGGCCUUGUACACACUGCCCGUCACACCAUGGAAGUUGGCCAUGCCCGAAGUCGUUACUCCAACCCUUGUGGAGGAGGACGCCGAAGGUGGGGCUGAUGACUGGGGUGAAGCC